CUAGAAAAGGCAUAUGAUAAAGUACCGAGAGAAAUUUUUUGAUUGUUGCUAGAGAAGAAAGGAGUUCACCUCAAAUAUGUAAAUGUCAUUAAGGACAUGUAUGAGGGAGUGAUUAUAAAUGUAAAAACAGUUGGAGAUGAUAAGGAUGAGAUUCCCAUAAUUGUCUAUAGGUUUACAUCAAGAAUCGACUUUUAGUCCAUACUAGUUUAAUUUAAUUACGAAUGAGCUAACCAAUCAUUUUCAAAAUGCAUGUUCCGUGGCGCAUGUUAUUUGCAAAUGAUGUUAUUUUAAUAGAUGAAACUAG
rnacentral:misc_RNA from 1 species